AGGGAAUCUUGCGCAAUGGGCGAAAGCCUGACGCAGCCAUUCCGCGUGAAUGAUGAAGGUCUUAGGAUUGUAAAAUUCUUUCACCGGGGAAGAUAAUGACGGUACCCGGAGAAGAAGCCCCGGCUAACUUCGUGCCAGCAGCCGCGGUAAUACGAAGGGGGCUAGCGUUGCUCGGAAUUACUGGGCGUAAAGGGCGCGUAGGCGGAUAGUUUAGUCAGAGGUGAAAGCCCAGGGCUCAACCUUGGAAUUGCCUUUGAUACUGGCUAUCUUGAGUUCGGGAGAGGUGAGUGGAAUGCCGAGUGUAGAGGUGAAAUUCGUAGAUAUUCGGCGGAACACCAGUGGCGAAGGCGACUCACUGGCCCGAUACUGACGCUGAGGCGCGAAAGCGUGGGGAGCAAAC
rnacentral:rRNA from 1 species